GGUUAAGCGACUAAGCGUACACGGUGGAUGCCCUGGCAGUCAGAGGCGAUGAAGGACGUGCUAAUCUGCGAUAAGCGCCGGUAAGGUGAUAUGAACCGUUAUAACCGGCGAUUUCCGAAUGGGGAAACCCAGUGUGAUUCGUCACACUAUCAUUAACUGAAUCCAUAGGUUAAUGAGGCGAACCGGGGGAACUGAAACAUCUAAGUACCCCGAGGAAAAGAAAUCAACCGAGAUUCCCCCAGUAGCGGCGAGCGAACGGGGAGGAGCCCAGAGCCUGAAUCAGCAUGUGUGUUAGUGGAAGCGUCUGGAAAGGCGCGCGAUACAGGGUGACAGCCCCGUACACAAA
rnacentral:rRNA from 1 species